GCUGUGCAGAGUUUGCUAAGCGCUUUAAAGUGCAUGGUUUGACAGUUGAUCUUUCUCCUGUCUCUCCACGCGUUUUGCUUGGUUUCUCUCACCCUCUCGCUCUGGGUGCUCUAAUGGUUCAGUCACCUUCAUUAAGGUUGACUACCUUAGCUCGCAUCAUGGGCUUGUCUCGUCGAUCGGUUGACCGUUUCUAUCAUAAACGUGCAAAGAGGGCAGAACGACUCUUUGCUGUUUAUCAUAUGAUCCGGUUACCUUUUGAUCUGUGGCUUGGGAGGGGAGCUCCUUUGUCCCCUUACGUGGUUGGUGUACUUAUAGAUAUCCUUCGUGAUCAUUCUAGGCCUAAAGACCUAGUGGUACCGGAUGAUAAGUUUUAUGAGUCUGAUGACCAUAAGACUUUGCUUGAGUAUACUGUACUCCGUAGGUGGAUGCAGCAAUGGCUGUCAUGGCAACUUUGGUAUUGCAAGGUGGCCCUUAUUCGGC
rnacentral:misc_RNA from 1 species